rnacentral:antisense_RNA from 1 species
AACAAGACUUCAAACCAACUCACACCCUCAAAGCUCCGGAAGCCAUUCAGUGUUUCCAUCUUGGCCGAGUGAGUUCUUCACUGAAACUCAGUUUGAUCUCUGACGAGGUCCUCAAGGACAACUGAGAGAAGGCAGAAAGGUGUUAAAUGGUUUGCAGAAUUGUUGGGAAGGCUAAGCUUCCAGGAGCCGCUCCCAAAGUCUCCACACACAACUGGACCACCAGGGAACCUGCUCCCUCCACCAGGACAGGACUUGGAAACCUGCCACCACCAUUACCAACACCAGAAGGAUCUUGUCUCUGCUAAGCCUCUGUCCACAUAGUGAAUGCCCUGUGCCCUGCCUCUCUUCCUCUGAUUCAGGUCCCACUCCGGGUCUUGCCCAAGUCUUUCUGAUUGGUGGAACUUAAAUCACACCCAAAAUCCCAGCUGCAGGAGAGCUGAGAUUUCAUCUUUCCAACCUCUGUGUGCUGCAUGGGGGUUGGAGCACUUGCUGACAAGCCUUGCAACAACCAUUGACAGGAUGUCCUCCACCUUUUCAGUCUGAUUUGCUCUUUGCCAUGCAGACCUGUGGAUGAAAAGCCAGAGUCCUCCAAGGUGAAGCUGGACUGAAUAUUUCUGUCCAUAAGACUAUUAGAAUCCCCCAAAGUGGGAUACCAGUGAGGACUUCACCAGCAGCUGCUGUCUCUCCAAUGCAGAGCUUCCUGCCUCCUGCCCAGCCCCUGCUGUCAGAGAUACUUGGUGCCUCCAGUUCUGGAGACUUCCGU